rnacentral:lncRNA from 1 species
GGUUUUUUAAUUAAUAUAUAAAAUAUAUAUUAGAAUGCACUGGUUAUAUUCCUGACAGUUCCUGACAUACUGUUUUCAGUCGUUCUAUCAUGACUAAUAAAAAAAUAAUUUUAUUAUAUUUUAUUUUUAAAUAAAAAAUAUGAUUGAUUUUUUAUUAAUGAUGUGGUAUAAGUGUGAUACAGUAGACGUCCUACUUUCCUUCUUUCUCAUCAUAAUUAUUAAUUAUUAAUUAUUAAAUGCAGUGUAAAUGUGAUACAGACAUACAGUAGACUUUCUAUUUUUUUCCUUACUCAUUAAUAAUUGUUAAUUAUUAAUCAACU